rnacentral:antisense_RNA from 1 species
AAGUGGAAAUUUAUAGAGUGAAAGAACAAACUCUCAUUUCUGGGGGUUUGUUCUUUUGCUGUAUAAAAAAUAGGUAUGAGUAGGAAAUUUUCAUUUUAUAACUGAGUAUGUAAUACUAGAAAAAUAGAAAAUGAUAACAGAUUUACAUUUUA